ACCCUCAUCCUUAGUUGCCAUCAGGUAUGCUGGGGACUUUAAGGAAACUGCUAGUGAUAAACUGGAGGAAGGUGGGGAUGAUGUCAAGUCAUCAUGGCCCUUAUGGAGUGGGCUACACACGUGCUACAAUGGUGGCUACAAUGGGCUGCAAAGUCGCGAGGCUAAGCUAAUCUCUUAAAAGCCAUCUCAGUUCGGAUUGUACUCUGCAACUCGAGUACAUG
rnacentral:rRNA from 1 species